UUGCAGAAAUUCGACAGGGAAGAAAAGCAAGUCACCAGGGACUGUAUCCUUGAUUAGUGGCUGCGAUCCUGCAACACACUUCAUCCUGCCCAAUCCCCAUCGAUGUUGGCAUUUUCCUACUCAAUUGAUGUCCUCAUAUUUUCCCUGCUCCAUCUACACACCAUAUAUUUCCUCAGGUGCUACAAACAAGUUCCAAACUUUAUUGGACAGGGGAAGAAGUAGAAGAAACAAGAAGUAUUAUUAAAAUGAAUGGAGUUAAAAUGGGACAGAGGUGAGAAGAAGGAGCUAGAAAACUUUAAAUAAAAUGCACCUACAGCUAAGGAAAUAGACAAGCCUUUCUGAUGGCUCUCAUGGCUCUGCGUUUACAUACUACAGAUUCCUCCUGGAUGAAACAGAAGCCGGGCUGCUGAUGCAGCUGGAGGAGGAAGCGAGAGGUUCCAACGGCAUGACUCCUUGGCAUUUCACACAUCCAUAGAAAUAACCCAUCUAUGAUUUCCACAAGACAAUUUUUUCUUAGUCCCCACUUUUCAGUGUAUGCUCAAACACAAUGCAGAAUCCCAAGAAACUGUGAAACUUUUCUGAGAAAAUGUUCUGAUUUGAAUUAGUUAGCUGUAUUCUGCAUUCAGCACAUUUACAAGCUUUGAAAUAUCGGACAUUGGCAAGCAAGCACUAACAUUUUAUAAGUAGCAGUUUGCAUCCAGGUUUGAGGUAAUGUAAUCCAACAUGCACGAGAACACAGUCUAGGUCCCCUUCUCCCUUCUAAGCAUAGCAGAAGGAUUAGGAAUAAUGAAUGGUGUGAAUUUUGCCACCUAGAGGGUUUCAUUUUGAUACCUGUUACACAGUCCUCUUGAGCACUGUGCUCAUUUUUCCUAUUGCUGAGAUAUGGAAAAUAAAACAGUAAUAGGAACGUGCACUGACAACACACCAUGUCAAUGCCCUAAAACGCAAAGUCUUGGAGAGGGUUCCAUAAUGGCUUCAGUAGAAGCAUAGCUCAUUCCCUGCUUUGCUAAUCAAUUUUCUGCAUGCCAUGUUCUCCCCGUUAUACCUCAUCCCUUAGGCUACUCUUGUAGCCCAAGUCAACCACACAGGUGAUAUACACCGGUGGAAUAGGUCAGGGCAAUUUCUUGAGGCACUGGAGGGGGAAAACCUGGGGUCUCUCCUCAGCCCUCCAAUGUGUCCAUAAUGCUCCUCAUGUGCCACAGGCUCCGUGCCACCAUGGAAUUUGAUCUGGAAGUCUAGAGCCCUUUUCAGGGAGUUGUUUAAGCCUUUAGUCCUUGUUUCUUCACUCUUAGUGUAAUUCUGUGUCAUUUUAGAGCCAGAAACACUGUUGUAACAGUCAAAUGUAGUAAUUAAGACUGUAGUAUCAGAUCACUGGCUUUUCAAUCUUUUUCUAAAAGGCUCUAUGAUCUCAGGCAAAUUUACUGAACUCUUCUUGCUGUAAUAUGGGGAGACAGUGGCCCUCACUUCAUAGAUUGUAGUGAGAUUAAAUAAGUUAAUAUAUGUAAAGCUUUAAUAAAGUACUUAGCAAAUAGUAUAUACAGUACUAUGCAAGUUUUAGCUAUAAAAUGACAAUAACAUUUCACAUAAAAAGGUUACUAUUAAUUGUUACUACCAUUUCCUAAUUAUUGAUUUAUGUAAUAAGCUAUGCCCCAAACCUACCAGGUUUAACUCUUGGUAUUCAGUGUGAACUGAAUUAUAUUCCCCUCAAAUUCAUUUAUUGAAACACUAAUGUGCUGGCAUUAGAAGGCAAGGCAUUUGGGAGGUAAUUAGGUCAUGAAGGUAGAAUCCUCAUGAUGGGAUUAAUGCCCUUAUUAGAACAGACUGAAGAGAAAUUUUACUCUGCCAUGAGAGACACAUAAAAAAAAAAAAAAAAGAUGAAGUCUACAAGCCAGGAAGCAAGCUCCCACCAAGAACUGAAUCAGCCAGCACCUUGUUCUUGAAUUUCCCAGCCUCCAGAACUGUGAGAAAUAAAUAUUAGUAGUUCAAGUCACCCAGACGGUGAUAUUUUUUGAUAUUUUGUGACAGCAGCCCAUACAAACCAAGGCUAUCUUCAAGCAAACAAUUUAGAAGUUCACAAUUUUUUUUCUGUCAAAUAUGUGGUGUUCGCAAAUUGAAAGCAUCUUGGAUUUCAGAACAGGCGAUAUCUUCACCAUGCGCACAAUGAAAUCAAUACUCAGAGAAGGCAGAUAAUUCUCCACGAAGCCAGAAAACUAAUAAAUGAACAACUUGGGUGAAAUGUCCCACCAGACGGUGUGAUAUUUAGUAGCCCAGAAAGCUGCCAAGGGGUUGAAUGACACUAUCUGAAGAUAUGAACCAGUUUGCUCUCCAUAGGGAGGAUUUCAUCAACAGGAAACAGAUGCCUGGAAGGCAUUGGAUUUGCUAAGUGUCUAUGCCAUAUGAUUCUGCUGUUUGCGUUUGAUUUAGAAUGCUGAGCUGACUCAAAGUCAAACUUGGCAUAAAACACUUCAAUCACACGUAGCUUUCUGGAGCAACAGACCAUGGGCUGAGGAUUGAGUUUCCGGGAGCCACAGCAAGGCUCUCCAAUGCCAUCUUUCUGUCUCACUGCUGAAAGUCAAGAAUCACAGUGCUGAUCUUCAGAAACUGUGGGUUCAGAAACUCACCUGGUCACUAGAAUUACUCUCCCCACUUUACCUCUGCUACCCCGGAGAUCCCCGAGACCAGUCCCUUUUGGGGAGCCCUUGAUGGCAUCUUCACUAGUAGCCCUUUGGCUCACAUGGGAAUACCCCCAGGGACUCCUCGCAAGAGGGCUAUGAGGGAGGCUUCAUUAUUCUAGUGUUGAAGCCCAGAGUCUCAACCUAAUCAGCGCUUUCCUUCAAGUUCGAGCCUCCAGGAGGAGCCAAGGAGUUUCAACAGCGUUUCAAAGUUCGCAGUUUGUAUUCUGCUGCACCAGAGACAUCAUUGAAUCUUACAGCUGAUGCUACCUUCUUUCCCACACCUGGAUUCACCCAAAGUCCUGGAGAACAGCACAUGGUGGAGAGAAACCCCUAGCCAAUUUUCCCUUCUGAAAGAUAAGAGCAAGACACCUGGGUGAACUGGUGGCUGAGGGACCUCCGCUCCUGGAUACAUGUCCGUAAUCAUUCAUGGAGUGAGAAAAUCGGCCUGUAUGUUACCACUAAAGAAGCUAGUCUGUAAGAAUGUAUUGAUUUAAGUAUAUAUAAAAAUACAUAGAGUAAAUUAUAACUCCCCUAGGCACAAUUUCAUUAUAUACCUUAAAAAAUACAUAGAUGCCACUCACUUCACUGCUAACAAAAAUGACAAUAUCAUUUAUCAUUCCAACCAUGGUACUUUUUUUUUUUUUUUUUUGAGUCAGAGUCUUGCUCUGUUGCCCAGGCUGGAGUGCAGUGGUGCAAUCUUGGCUAACUGCAAUCUCCGCCUCCCGGGUUCAAGCGAUUCUCCUGCCUCAGCCUCCCGAGUAGCUGGGACUACAGGCGUGUGCCACCACGCCCAGAUAAUAAUUUUUUGAAUUUUUAGUAGAGAUGAGGUUUCGCCGUGUUAGCCAGGAUGGUCUCAAUCUCCUGACCUCGUGAUCCGCCUGCCUCGGCCUCCCAAAGUGCUGGGAUUACAGGCAUGAGCCACCACACCCGGCCCCAUGGUAUUUUGACUACAAAAUGAGACACAAUACAUGAAAAAGUGGUCUACUGUGGAUCACUACUCUCAAUGAAAAGAAACAAACUAUUGAUACAUUUGACAAACCAAGACUUUCUCCCCAAAACUGGGCUGUGUGGUCCCCUAACUCUACCUGAUAGGGAAAAGAAAAGUGAGUUGGGAAUGAGGAAAGUAUUUUUUUGGAGGGAGGUUUGUUUUAGGUUGGUUUUUGUUGUUGUUAUGAUUUGACUGUGAUUCCUCCAUAGAGUAAAACACAGUCAGUUCUUGUUGUUUGUGGUUAUUAUGUUCUUUAAAGAACAUAAUUGCUGUGAGCACUGAAUUAGCAAAUACUGAACUGUUGCUCCCACGGGAAAUACAGAGGACGUUCCUUCGAGCCUGUGGUCACACAUUGUCAUAAAACAAUCGAUACACGACCUUGUUUUAUGUGUGUUUCUGUUAAAGGACACCUUGUUUAACAUACAGCAUUGAUUUAUUAACAUUGAAUUCAUGACCAACAGUACUAUAACUAACGCUUGAACAAGGCUUAUCAACACAUCUCUUUUCUUCAUACGGUACAUCAAAGACUUCUUGCACUUAGGAAUACUAGAUGGCACUAUAUCACUGUAGUGAAAUCAGCAGCAAAAAGCACAACAUGAGAAAAAUGUGGCACUAAAUAGAACACACACCAAAAGGACAGUUGUGUACAAUAUGAGAUAUAAAACAGGAGCAAGGCAGAAUGUCGCCUUGUUGAACCUCAUCUGGGAACAUGAACUUUGGGUGACAAUUUUUUCGCUGCUCUCCACAUGUCUGUGAAGGGACAUGAAAUAGCUGUGGCUAUUGAUUUGAGAGUUACAGGUAAUUUUAGGGAGUAGGCAGGUCUGUAAAUAUGAAAUCCAUGAGUAAUGAUGACUGACUGUAGAUUCUUGUCCCUAACUCUUAGGUGUACCUUUAUUUAAAGUUAGGCUCACCAAGUAGAUUUCAAGAGGUCUCUAAGAGUGGAUCUAAAAUGGAGAACAAAUGACCUCAGGAGAUGUAGAUAAAAUAUGUCUCUUCAAACUGGUUUUGCACCAGUAAUGAGACAGUGACGCAAGUCCUCUGUAUCCUCGCUGUGCUUGUUUUUGUCCCUAUUUUCAUCAUUCUGCUAGACGUGCAGUAAUACUUUUCUGUGGUUUUAAUUUGCAUUUCUCUAAUAGUACAGUUUGGCAGUUUUUUAAACAGUUAAAUAUUCAACUGCAUUUAUAUAUGACCCAGCAAUUGUACUCUUUGGCAUUUAUUCCAGGGAAAUGAGAACAAACUUGAACAUUGUGGCACAUCUAUUUAUAAUAACCAAGAACUGGAAAUAAUCAGAUAUCUCUCCAUGGAAAAAUGGUUAUUAAACAAAACAUAGUACAACUUACUAUGGAUCACUACUCCCAAUAAAAAGGAACAAACUGUUGAUGCAUUCAGCAACCUUAAUGAAUCACCAAAGAACUAUCCUAAGUGAAAAUAAAGCCAGUUUCCCAAGAUUAUAUAUGGUAGGAUUCCCUUUAUAUAACAUCCUUGAAAUGAGAAAAUGAUAGAAAUGGAGAAUAGACUAGUGGUUGCCAGGGGGUUAAGGUGGGAAUCCAUGCAGGAAGGAAGUGGCUAUAACGAUAAAAGAGAAACAUGAGGAAUCCUUGCUGUGAUGAAAAUGCUCUGAAUCUUGACUGUAUCUAUGUCAGUAUCUUGGUUAUAAUAUUGUCUUAUGCUUUUGCAAGAUGUUACCAUUGGGGAAUACUAGGCAUAAGCACAUGAGAUCCCUCUCUCGUAGUUCUUACAACUCCGUGUGAAUCUAUGAUUACCUCAGUAUAAAAAGCUUAUUUAUAAAUAAAUGAAGGAAAAAUAAAGACUUUCUCAAACCAGCCAAACUACACACCACACACACACACACACACACACACACACACACACACACACACAGAGUUUUAUUCUUUCCAAGUUUGAACUGAUUCUUAUUCCUUCUUCAGUCAUUCAACAAGCUGUUACCCUUUAAAGAGGCUAAGGAGAGAUUAAUUAGAUAUUAGUUCGUAAGAUACAUUUUUCAAAUUUCUUAAAAUAUAUGUACAUGUACAAUUUAGUGAAAGCAAAAAAAACUUUGAUAGUAAUAAUAUUGAAGAUCCAAAUCUGUAUUAAGUCAAAUAUUUAGUGAUAUAAUUUUCAUUUCAAAAUGGUUUUUACAUAAAGUAAAACUGUGUACAAUAAAGUAAAUAAUUUUAAUGCAAUUUAUUCUUUUUUUGGAUGAGGAAACUGAGGCUCCCUUCUUAUGUGGAAAAAUGGUUGGCAUUGCCAUUAGUGCAGAGUUGAUUGGGGCUAAAUUGAUGCACUCUUUGGACCAUAAAGUCAAGAGCAGAUAUGUAAAACCACGAUGUGUCAUUAUGGAUGAUCCAGUUUCUUUUUAAAUCAGAAUCUCUGGGGCAUGAACAAAGUCUUUAUAUAAGGUACUAUUCUGUCUUAUGGGCUCUCUCUAUAUGAUUUUUCUAUAUAUGCAGAUAUAUAAGGAAAGGGCUGACAAUAAUCAUGUAGGAUACAUAAAAUAUUAUUUUCUUUCUGAAAGGAAAGGGAAUGGGCCUCCUCUGGUUAAAAUUUAUAUUAGAUUUCGUAGACUGCUAGGGCUGCCAUCACAAAGUACCACAGACAGGGACACUUAAAGAAAAGAAAUAUAUUGUCUCACGGUUCUGGAGGCUACAAGUCAAAGAUCAAGGAGUCAGUGGGAUUGGUUGCUUCUGAGGCUGUGAGGGGCAAUCUGUUUCAUGCCUCUCUCCUAACUCUGGUUAUUUGCCGGCCAUUUUUGGUGUCCCUUGGCUUAUAGAAUCAUUGCUCCAAUCCCUGACUUACCUUCACGUGUUGUUCUUCCUGUGUGAGUCUGUCUUUGUGUUCAAAUUGCUUCCUUUAAUAAGGACACCAGUCAUACUGGAUUAGGGUCCCACCCUCAUCCGUGAAGUAUGACCUCAUACUAACUAAUUACAUCUUCAAUGACCCUAUUUCCAAAUAUGACCACAGACUGAGGCACUGCAGGUUAAGGCUUCAACAUAAGAAUUUUGGGGGACACAAUUCAACUCAUAACAGAUUUUCUCUCUCAUUCUUACCCCAUGGAUAGGAUAUAACAGACAAAGCCCUCUUUAGGUUAUCAAAUAAAUUGUGCCCAAGAUGCAAUGGGCGAAAAGUGUCCUAAGCAACAUAAAGAUAAGCAGCCAUUGUAAUAGAUAUAUUUUUGGCCUUAUUUUAUCUAAAUCAAAAGAUUAAAAGUAAAACUCUGAAUGCACUAUAUUUGCAAAAUGUUUACAAUUAGCCCCAUAAUUUUCUUUUGCAUUAAUAUUAGAAGAAAACUAAACAUUUUCUAAAACUUAUUACUUUCUGAAUGUUUUGAACGUGCUGAUGUAAAUUUUUCAACUCUAAGUGUAGGUGAC
rnacentral:lncRNA from 10 species